rnacentral:misc_RNA from 1 species
GUCUGCAACAAACUCCGAUUUCAGACAGAAUGGUUUUUUUCUAGAUAAUAACUUUCUUGAAAAUUUCUCUUUCUGGUUCGUUAAUGGCUAUCUCAUCAAAAUCUAUUCAAAGUCGCAGUUAAUAUUCAAGAUAAGGCAUAUCAGCAAAUCACCGCUGGCAUUACAUAUUUUCGAUUUUUUUUUUUGGUUCAUUUUCAUGGGUCACCACUCU